rnacentral:lncRNA from 1 species
GCUUACCCUGGGUAAUUUGCUGCAUUGGUUCGAGUUUGAAACUCCAUCAAACAAUCCAGUCGAUAUGUCUGACGCAGUCAAAUUAAUGAGUCCUAAAGCAACUCCAUUAGAAGUUUAUAUAACCCAUCACAUUCCUACUUAUGUUUACCUAUAAUUAUAAUAAAUAAAUUUUAGUAUUAUUACUAUAUAUAUCUUUUUGCUGAUUUAAUAUAUUUAUUUAUUUUGAAUAAAUAAUUUUAUUCAAAACAUGCAUUAUCAAUAAUUGUGUUGAAAGAACAUUUCAACAUACUAAAGCAUAUGAGAACGAAAGUAGAUUGGAACCUUACCCCUGUAUUGGUGGAUAUCAAUGUAAUACUAAAGCAUCAAGUUGUAGUUGUUUAUUGGGCUCUUCUAAGAAAAAUUCACAAGUUCAUUUCAUAAAGAUAUAAUUUUAGCUAAAUCAUAAAUUUAGAGUUGUUAUGCCUCCGCUCCUUGGAUCUACUCCUCACGAAAGCUCCACCUAUUACUCGGACAUAUCUUUCAGGAACAGUCCUUGACCUAACAGUCAUAUUAAUUUAUGUGAGCUCUACUCAUUAAUCUUCACUACUCAACCUCACUAUCGUGUUUCAUCUAAAGUGAUUGAAAGCACGUCUAAUCGCCACCCUACCAACCUAAACCUAUGGUGACAAACCAUUUUAUUGGAUACCUACAAUCUUUGACUUUUCAAAGAUGAAUAGUGGUAGAAAGUUGGCACCGAAAGGCACCGAAAGUAGAAAGUAAGAUUGGUUGGCAAGUUGGGUUAAAAGUUGGCAUGGGAUAAUUGCAAUUUUGGUCCCUAAUUGUAUAGGGACAUUGCAAGUUGAUCCUUAAACCUCAACUAUAAAUAGGCCUAACCAUCUCUUACUUUCUUCAUCCCACACUUGCCAUUCUCUACUUAAGGCAAUUGUUCUCUCUCCCUAUUUGUAAACUUUCACUUGUAUUUUUGGAGUGAAAUAUAUUUGGUAGUGCCCGAGGACGUAGGCAAAAUUUGCUGAACCUCGUUAAAAUUCUAGUGUUCUUUAUUUUUGUUCUAGCAUAUUUUGCAAGUGUCAUUGUAGUGAUUUAUUGUGCUAUUAAAUUACGAUAGAGGGAUAUUCUGGCUAGGAAAGAUCUGGUAUGUAAGCGAUCCUCGUGAUCCACCUCUCUUUCCUGGGAAUUGAACUUAGUGUGAUUUUUCAGUACAAUAAUUUUACUCUUUCACACGCUUCCGCGCAACAAUUGGUACCAGAGCCAGGUUCGUACUUGGGGAAUACGACCGCUUACGGUACUAUUCACGUAUACGGCACUAUUUACGUAUACGGUACUAUUCACAUAUACGGAACUAUUCACGUAUACGAUACUGUUCACGUAUACAGUAGUUGGGAUUGAGGAGAAAAAUGACAGCAGCAUCGUCAUCAGCAAGGACUACUGUGACAAAUGCAAAAUUUGAAGUAGAGAAAUUUGACGGUACCAAUAAUUUUGGUAUGUGGCAGUGUGAGAUCCUGGAUGUCUUAUGUCAGCAAGAGCUGGAUAUAGCCCUUGAAGAAAAACCUGACAAGAUGGAUGACAAGGAGUGGGCCAAGAUCAAUAGACAGGCGUGUGGAACAAUCCGCCUAUGUUUGGCCAAAGAGCAAAAGUACUCCGUCAUGAGGGAGACAUCAGCGAAGAAGCUGUGGGAUACAUUGGAAGAAAAGUUUCUAACGAAAAGUCUUGAAAAUAGGCUUUAUAUGAAAAAGAAACUUUAUCGAUUCACGUAUGCACCCGGUAUGUCGAUGAAUGACCAUGAGAACUCAUUCAAUAAAAUUUUAGCAGACUUGCUAAAUUUGGAUGAGAAAUUUGAAGAUGAAGACAAGGAAUUAUUGUUGUUGAAUUCCCUUCCUGAUGAAUAUGAUCAUCUUACCACCACAUUGCUUCAUGGGAAGGACACGAUCACAUUUGAUGCAGUCUGUAGUGCGUUGUAUAGAUCUGAGACUCGAAAGAAAGAUAAAAGAUAUCACAGAGAUACAACUGCAGAAGUCUUAACAGUAAGAGGUCGUUCACACAGCAGCAAACCUGGUAGAAGGGGUAAGUCCAAAGGGAGACCCGCCAAAGAUGAAUGUGCCUUUUGUCGUGAGAAAGGGCAUUAGAAAAAGAAUUGUCCUAAGCUACAAAAGGGCAAGGCUAUUUCUAAUACAUGUGUAGCGGAGCAUGAUGAGGAGUCAGACUUUAGCUUGGUUGGCAUGGCAAUGGCAUGUCAAACGGAUGAGUGGAUUUUGGAUUCAGGAUGUACUUACCAUAUGUGUCCUAAUAAGGACUGGUUUUCUAGUCUUAAAGAGCUAGAAGGUGGAAUUGUUCUUAUGGGCAAUGAUAGUGCUUGUAAGACAAUGGGAGUGGGUACAGUCCAAUUGAAAAAUCACGACGGCUCAAUCCAAGUCUUGACAGAUGUUCGCUACGUACCUAGCUUGAAGAAAAAUCUCAUCUCAUUAGGGGCCCUAGAAUCUAAAGGGCUCACAAUCACUUUGAGAGAUGGAUUACUAAAGGUAGUAGCUGGGGUAUUGACGGUGAUGAAAGGCACUAGAAGAAAUAACUUGUACUAUUUAAAUGGAAGUACAGUUAUUGGAUCAACAUCAACAGCUUCUGCGAAAGAUGCAGAUUCAGAGGCUACCAGGUUAUGGCAUAGGCGAUUGGGACAUGCUGGUGAAAAAACUUUGCAGACUUUGGCGAAGCAAGGCUUGUUGAAAGGUGCAAAUUCUUGCAAAUUGGAAUUCUGUGAACAUUGUGUUCUGGGCAAGCAGACGAGGGUAAAAUUUGGUUCAGCAAUUCACAAUACGAAAGGAAUUCUGGACUAUGUUCACAGUGAUGUGUGGGGACCUACCAAAGUGGCUUCUUUGGGAGGUAUGCACUAUUUUGUCACUUUUCUUGAUGAUUAUUCAAGAAAAGUAUGGGUGUAUCUAAUGAAAAGAAAAAAUGAAGUUUUGGAUGCAUUUCUGAAGUGGAAGAAGAUGGUGGAGACUCAGACAGGUCGAAAGGUCAAACGACUUCGAUCAGAUAAUGGUACUGAGUACAAAAAUGAUCCAUUUCUACAAGUAUGUCAAGAUGAGGGCAUUGUGCGACACUUCACUGUUCGAGAUACACCACAGCAGAAUGGGGUGGCAGAACGCAUGAAUCAGACUAUACUGGAGAAAGUUCGAUGUAUGUUGUCCAAUGCUGGAUUGGGCAAGGAAUUUUGGGCUGAGGCAGUUACAUAUGCGUGCCAUCUAAUUAACCGAUUGCCAUCAGCUGCAAUAAAUGGAAAAACUCCUAUGGAGAUGUGGACUGGUAAACCUGCUACUGAUUAUGAUUCUUUACAUGUUUUUGGUUCCACUGCAUAUUAUCAUGUAAAAGAAUCUAAGUUAGACCCAAGAGCAAAGAAAGCAUUAUUCAUGGGUAUAACUGGUGGUGUAAAAGGAUACCGUCUCUGGUGUCCUGAUACAAGGAAGAUUGUUUUCAGUAGAGAUGUAACUUUUGAUAAAUCAACCAUGAUGAAGAACGAGAAUUCACAAAAGGAUGACAAAACCAGUAGUACUUUGCAGCAGGUGGAGUUUGAAAAGGUUAAUGAUGAUCUAGCUAAUAUUGAAAGAACAAAUGAUGAAGAAGUUUCGACCCAAGAACUUCUACAGCAACAAGAUUCAAUUGCAUAUAGGAGGCCAAGAAGAGAGAUUCGUAAGCCUGCUCGCUUUGAUGAUAUGGUGGCCUAUGCACUUCUAAUUGCAGAUGAUGAUGUUCCUUCCACUUACACAGAAGCAAUAAGUAACUCUGAUGGUGUAAAGUGGAAGCAAGCUAUGAAUGAAGAAAUGCAGUCUCUUCAUAAAAAUAGGACUUGGGAGUUGGUGAGACUGCCCAAGGGAAAGAAGGCAAUUGGAUGCAAAUGGGUAUAUGCAAAGAAGGAAGGAUUUCCUGGUAAAAAUAAAAUUCGAUACAAGGCUAGAUUGGUAGCAAAGGGUUAAGCUCAGAAAGAAGGAAUAGACUACAAUGAAGUGUUUUCUCCAGUUGUGAAGCAUUCGUCUAUUCGAAUUUUACUAGCCUUGGUUGCGCAAUACGAUCUUGAACUAGUUCAGCUUGAUGUAAAGACAGCAUUUUUACACGGUGAUUUGGAAGAGGAAAUCUAUAUGACUCAGCCUGAUGGAUUCAAUGUUGCUGAUAAAGAAAAUUGGGUUUGCAAACUGACAAAGUCACUUUAUGGAUUGAAACAAUCUCCGAGGCAGUGGUACAAGCGAUUUGAUCAGUUCAUGAAAGGGCAAAGGUACACAAGAAGUAAAUUUGAUCAUUGCGUAUAUUUUCAGAAGCUACAAGAAGGAACUUUCAUAUACUUGCUCUUAUAUGUUGAUGAUAUGCUGAUAGCAUCUAAGAGCAAAGUUGAGAUUGAGAGAUUGAAGACUCAACUCAAUCUCGAGUUUGAGAUGAAAGAUCUAGGUGAAGCUAAGAAGAUUCUUGGCAUGGAAAUAUGUAGAGAUAGAGCUCAUGGCAGAGUUAGCUUGUCUCAGAAGCAGUAUUUGAAGAAAGUACUACAGCAGUUUGGUAUGAACGAGCAUACCAAACCUGUAAGUACCCCGUUGGCUUAUCAUUUCAAGCUUUCUGCACAACUAUCUCCUUCAACGAAUACGGAACGAGAAUAUAUGUUGCAAGUUUCGUAUUCUAAUGCAGUGGGUAGCUUGAUGUAUGCAAUGGUGUGUACAAGACCCGACAUUUCACAGGCAGUUAGUAUAGUGAGUAGGUAUAUGCAUAAUCCUGGAAAAGGACAUUGGCAAGCUGUGAAAUGGAUUCUACGGUAUAUUCAGAAAACCGUGGAUGUUGGAUUACUGUUCAAGCAGGAUAAUACACUUGGUAAAGGUGUUAUUGGGUACGUUGAUUCUGACUAUGCCGGUGAUUUGGACAAGCGAAGAUCAACCAUCGGUUAUGUGUUUACACUUGCUGGAGGACCAAUAAGUUGGAAGUCUACACUACAGUCUACAGUUGCAUUGUCAACCACAGAAGCCGAGUACAUGGCUGUAACAGAGGCUGUAAAGGAGGCUAUUUGGUUACAAGGUAUGGCUAAAACCUUGGGGUUGGUUCAGGAGCAUAUUAACGUGUAUUGUGAUAGUCAAAGUGCUAUUCAUUUAGCAAAGAAUCAAGUCUAUCAUGCACGUACAAAACAUAUCAACGUACGAUUCCAUUUUGUGCGGGAAAUUAUUGAAGAGGGGAAAAUUUGUCUUCAGAAGAUCAAGACUGCAGAUAAUCUCGCAGAUAUGAUGACCAAGGUGGUAACAACAACCAAGUUCGAACAUUGUUUGAACUUGAUCAAUAUCCUGCAAGUUUAACAGUUGAAGAAGGCACUAUCAAGUAUUGUUGUCAAAGGAAGAAAGAAUUGUGUGAAGAUAAGAUUAUCCUAAUCAAAUCUUCAAGGUGGAGAUUAUUGGAUACCUACAAUCUUUGACUUUUCAAAGAUGAAUAGUGGCAGAAAGUUGGCACCGAAAGGCACCGAAAGUAGAAAGUAAGAUUGGUUGGCAAGUUGGGUUAAAAGUUGGCAUGGGAUAAUUGCAAUUUUGGUCCCUAAUUGUAUAGGGACAUUGCAAGUUGAUCCUUAAACCUCAACUAUAAAUAGGCCUAACCAUCUCUUACUUUCUUCAUCCCACACUUGCCAUUCUCUACUUAAGGCAAUUGUUCUCUCUCCCUAUUUGUAAACUUUCACUUGUAUUUUUGGAGUGAAAUAUAUUUGGUAGUGCCCGAGGACGUAGGCAAAAUUUGCUGAACCUUGUUAAAAUUCUAGUGUUCUUUAUUUUUGUUCUGCAUAUUUUGCAAGUAUCAUUGUAGUGAUUUAUUGUGCUAUUAAAUUACGAUAGAGGGAUAUUCUGGCUAGGAAAGAUCUGGUAUGUAAGCGAUCCUCGUGAUCCACCUCUCUUUCCUGGGAAUUGAACUUAGUGUGAUUUUUCAGUACAAUAAUUUUACUCUUUCACACGCUUCCGCGCAACACAUUUGGCCCAUUAUUCCUGACUUGCUAAUAGAGACGUGACAUAUGGCAUCUCAAGAUUGUAGCUAAGGGUUUAAAAUCUCUCAAAUCUGACUGGAAAAAGGGACUCUCUCUCUUUCUCUCCGCUCCUUUCAUUCCUCCUUCAACAACCUAACCCGAUAUCAACACCAUCUUCGUCUGAACACCUCCUAUGGUGGUUGUCCGCCUUGUACCCAACGAGGUGAACCGCCUAAUUCCACUGUCAUUUCCAUCUUAUCAAAACUAAGCAUUAACAAUUGAUACAGUAAGUGUAGACUCACUCCUAUCAUGAUAUUUCUCUAAUACCAAACUCAAAACCAAAUCUAAAAUAUUAUCCAAACUCAACCAAAUCAACACGAGAACUACUACUAUCAUCCUUACAACUAUUAUGCUAAACGAUAUUCGUGUCAACAAAGAUAUUAUAAAGCCUACCCAAACUAUUAAAUUAGACAAUUUGAAUUAAAAGUUGAUUUGAAAUUAAAUGCUUUUAUUGUAUGUGUCAUUAUAUGGAGCUUUCUGCAUUAGCAUGUAACUUGUUAGAUGGAGCUUUCUAGCAGGCAGGGGCUUGAGCUUGAUCCCCACUUGGCUAAAGGGUAUAGUUCCCUUUUCAAUCCCUUUGAAAAUUAAUUCUUAAAUAUUAUUCUUAAAAUUAGUCCACAAGCUUAUCUUACUAAAAAAAAAUUAAAUUGUCCAAAAAAAAAAUAAAAGUGUAGGAAUUAGUUUUAGCAAAUAACAUAGAAAAAUUACGUUAAAAGAAAUGGAGAAGGAAGGAAAAUAGAGGGAGAAGCAAAAGAGAAUGAAAAAGAAAAGAAAAAAAAGAAAAAAUAGCAUAAAAGAAAAAAUGAAAUUGCUAAAAAUGAAAAAAAACGGGGACCGAUUAUAGAAAUUAACCUAAAAUUUUUGUUUGUAAUGAUGAUUUAAUGUGUCACAUCAGCUUAUCGUUAUAUCGUUAAUGACAAUCAACGGCUCAGUGACUAAAAUAUUACAGUGUGAUAACUUAAGUGACUAAAAUGUAACCUAAAGUGAAAAAAAUGACUAUUUUAGUAGUUUACCCAUAAUAUUACUUAUUUUAGUUGCGGAAUGACAUUCCUAUAAUUUUCUAACCAAGUUAGUGACUUAUUGACUCAUACACCAACUCGAUCCGGAGUUUAAUAAUAGUAUAGAUAUACAAUUGAUAGAACUAAUGGAGUGUGCAUAAUAAAAUUAAAAUAUAUACAAAUAUCAAAAUAAUAUUUUAGUUGAGUGGUAAAUUAAAUGUUUUACGAAUGCAAUCGGUGUGAGUUUGAAUCCCAUCAUAUCCAUAUUUUUAUUAAUUUUUUACAUAAAAAGAUUAAAAUACCCUCAUAGUUUAAUUAGGAAUUGAUGCCCAAUUAACUCGUGACACCAACUCAACAAAAAAUUUAAAAAUAAUGUAGAUUUAAUUAAUUAUUAUCAAAAUUAACUCAAUAUAAAAUAGUGUAAAAUCGGAAAAUAUCCGAAUUUAGAUUAAAAAAUAUGAAUAGAAAAAUUAUCCAAAACUUUAAUAUUUCCGAACACUGCCAAGCUUCAAUUGGCUAGGUAUGCUGUUGUUUGUCAAAAGUAGAAAACGUGGGUGGAUUUUGCGUGAUCCUUUAAGAUAUGAAAGGGAUUGAGCAAUCUUACAAUUAUAUCAACAUUUAGUUAAAUUACAUGAUUAAUCUCUAUAUUAUGAAUUUAAUUCUUGUAUUUUAAUUUAUUUAAUUUUCAAUUUUAAAAUUUUAAUUCUCAUCAAACGAUAAUUAUUACAUUCAUUAAGUUAAGUUUUGCUAUUUUCAAAAUCUGAUGCGAAAAACAUAUUACCAUAUAUAUAAUGCUAUGUCUUAUUAUUUCCAAAUAUUACUUGCUAAAAAUAUAUUCAGUUAAUGGAUUUAUGACGGUCAUUUACGUCAAGAAUAAAAUUUUAAUUUUCAAAAAGUACAGGGACUUAGAAUGAUCUAAUUGGAGAAUAUGGACUAAAUUUACAAUCGUAAACAUAAUACAAGACUAAUAAUUGAAUUUAAACAAACGGAUUUAACUACUAUUUAUUAGGGUUAAGACUAGAUUUUUAAAAUUUAAAAAAGUUAAGAGACUAGAAUUCACCAAUUCAAAAAGUAUAAUGAUCAAAAUUAAUCAAAUUAAAAUGUAUGGGUUAAAUCUGUAACUUUUACAAAGUAGAGGGACUAAUAACAAAAUUUAACCUUAAUUAAAGAAAUUAUUGUUCCUAGAGUGUGGGGGAAUAUACAUAUUUGGGUAGACAGAGGUCACAGUUUUCAUUUUUAGGCACCAAAAAUAAAAAUUUUACAACUUUGGCACUCCUAAUUUAUCCUUUUCAUUUUGUUUUUUAGAAUUAAUUUUUAGAAAUUAAAUGACAAAAAAAAAAAAAAAAACAAGAACACUUGUUGAUGACGGUACUGUCUUGACAUCCCCUAGCCCUUUAAAUCCAACUCCCUCAUCUCUGCUGCUCACAUUCCAUUUCUUAUCUUAAUAUUGAAGUGGGAAUCGGGCGAUGGAUUAUUUCCAUUCACUCACAGCAACUUCAACGGUUGCAAUCGUUGCUUUUCCACUACUCCUUUUCUCUUUUCUGUCGAUCUCAAGAAGAAACACAAACUCGAAGAAAACAGCACCAGAAGCUGUCGAUAUGUGUGAAGCACUUGGGAUAUCAAGUUCUAAAGCAACUUCAUUAGAAGUUUAUAUAACCCCUCGUCUUCCUUUUUUUUUUUAUGAUUCCAUUAACUAAUUGGUUUUUUAAUUUUAUUAUAAAAUGAGUAGAAUUCAACAAAUUUCUAAGGUACUAUACUUGUCAUUUAAUAAUACCAUAUGCAACUUUUGGUAUUUUUUCUUUCCUGAAAAAAAAGUAGAAUUCAAUAAAUUUCAAAUAUUUCAAGGAAAAGUGGUUUGCCCAAGUAAUGUUAGUCAAUCUAAUGGUAAAGACAUGAAUGGCCCUUGCACGAUACCUUAAUCAGUCCAAUUCAAGGAGGCGUAAAGUAUCGCACUACAUGUCAAAUCAAGUCCAGCUCUUAAUGACAUUUUGAUUGAUCAGUGUUUUCAAAACAAGAAAAAUGGAGAGAAAAUUGAUAAUGGAAUUGGAUUGAUCAUUGAUGUAUGAUUUGGGGUGACGGGAAAAAGGCUACUUCACUUUACAUAAAAAAGAUCACGAUCUUUAUAAGAUUCAUCAUGAUCCAUUUAUAUGGGCAAAUCCUUUUGAAUUUCAACUUGAAAGAUUUAUAACUAGUCACAAAGACAUUGAUGUGAGAGGACAGAAUUUUGAACUGAUUCUAUUUGGAAGUGGUAGAAGAAUGUUCCCUGGAGUUUCAUUUGCACUUCAAAUUUUGCUUUUAACACUAGUCACUAGCUAAUGUAUUGCAUUGGUUUGAGUUUGAGACUCCAUCAAACGAAGCUGUCGAUAUGCGUGAAGCACUUGGGAUAACGAAUUCUAAAGCAACUCCAUUAGAAGUUCAUAUAACUCCUCGCCUUCUUGCUUUUGUUUACAAUUCCACUAACUCCAUUAGAGCUUACCCUGGGUAAUUUGCUGCAUUGGUUCGAGUUUGAAACUCCAUCAAACAAUCUAGUCGAUAUGUCUGAAGCAGUCAAAUUAAUGAGUCCUAAAGCAACUCCAUUAGAAGUUUAUAUAACCCAUCACAUUCCUACUUAUGUUUACCUAUAAUUAUAAUAAAAAAAAUUUUAGUAUUAUUACUAUAUGUAUCUUUUUGCUGAUUUAAUAUAUUUAUUUAUUUUGAAUAAAUAAUUUUAUUCAAAACAUGCAUUAUCAAUAAUUGUGUUGAAAGAACAUUUCAACAUACUAAAGCAUAUGAGAACGAAAGUCGAUUGGAACCUUACCCCUGUAUUGGUGGAUAUCAAUGUACUACUAAAGCAUCAAGUUGGAGUUGUUUAUUGGGCUCUUCUAAGAAAAAAUCACAGAGUUCAUUUCAUAAAGAUAUAAUUUUAGCUAAAUCAUAAAUUUAGAGUUGUUAUGCCUUCGCUGCUUGGAUUUUGAACACCUCUAUAAUGGUUGUCUGCCUUGUAUCCCACGAGGUGAACUGCCUAAUUCCACUGUCAUUUUCGUCUUAUCAAAUCCAAGCAUUAACAAUUGAUAUAGUAAGUAUAGACUCACUCCUAUCGUGAUAUUUCUCUAAUACCAAACUCAAAACCAAAUCUAAAAUGUUAUCCAAACUCAACCAAAUCAACAUGAAAACUACUACUAUCAUCCUUACAACUAUUAUGCUAAACGAUAUUCGUGUCAACAAAGAUAUUAUAAAGCCUACCCAAACUAUUAAAUUAGACAAUUUGAAUUAAAAGUUGAUUUGAAAUUAAAUGCUUUUAUCGUAUGUGUCAUUAUAUGGAGCUUUCUACAUUAGCAUGUAACUUGUUAGAUGGAGCUUUCUAGCAGGCAGGGGCUUGAGCUUGAUCCCCACUUGGCUAAAGGGUAUAGUACCCUUUUCAAUCCCUUUGAAAAUUAAUUCUUAAAUAUUAUUCUUAAAAUUAGUCCACAAGCUUAUCUUACUCAAAAAAAUUUAAAUUGUCCAAAAAAAAAUAAAAGUGUAGGAAUUAGUUUUAACAAAUGGUAAACAUAGAAAACUUAAGUUAAAAGAAAUGGAGAAGGAAAGAAAAUAGAGGGAGAAGCAAAAGAGAAUGAAAAAAAGAAGAAGAAAAAAUAACAUGAAAGAAAAAAUGAAAUUGCUCAAAAUGAAAAAAUAUGGGGACCGAUAACAGAAAUUAACCUAAAAUUUUUGUUUGUAAUGAUGAUUUAAUGUGCCACAUCAGCUUACCAUUAUAUCGUUAAUGACAAUCAACGGCUCAGUGACUAAAAUGUUACAGUGUGAUAACUUAAGUGACUAAAAUGUAACUUAAAGUAAACAAAAAUGACUAUUUUAGUAGUUUAUCCAUAAUAUUACUUAUUUUAGUUACAGAAUGACAUUCCUAUAAUUUCCUAACCAAGUUAGUGACCGAUUGACUCAUACACCAACUCGAUCCGGAGUUUAAUAAUAGUAUAGGUAUACAACUGAUGGAACUAAUGGAGUGUGCAUAAUAAAAUUAAAAUAUAUACAAAUAUCAAAAUAAUAUUUUAGCUUAGUGGUAAAUUAAAUGUUUUACUAAUGCAAUCGGUGUGAGUUUGAAUCCCAUUGUAUCCAUAUUUUUAUUGAUUUUUUUACAUAAAAAGAUUAAAAUACCCUCAUAGUUUAAUUAGGAAUUGAUGCCCAAUUAACUUGUGACACCAACUCAACAAAAAAUUUAAAAAUAAUGUAGAUUUAAUUAAUUAUUAUCAAAAUAAACUCAAUAUAAAAUAGUGUAAAAUCAGAAAAUAUCCGAAUUUAGAUUAAAAAAAUAUGAAUAGAAAAAUUAUCCAAAACUUUAAUAUUUCCGAACACUGCCAAGCUUCAAUUGGCUAUGUAUACUAUUGUUUGUCAAAAGUAGAAAACGUGGGUGGAUUUUGCGUGAUCCUUUAAGAUAUGUAAGGGAUUCAGCAAUCUUACAAUUAUAUCAACAUUUAGUUAAAUUACGUGAUUAAUCUCUAAAUUAUGAAUUUAAUUCUUGUAUUUUAAUUUAUAUAUUUUUCAACUUUAAAAUUUUAGUUCUCAUCAAACAAUAAUUAUUACAUUCAUUAAGUUAAGUUUUGCUAUUUUUAAAAUCUGAUGCGAAAAACAUAUUACCAUAUAUAUAAUGCUAUGUCUUAUUAUUUCCAAAUAUUACUCACUAAAAAUAUAUUCAGUUAAUGGAUUUAUGACGGUCAUUUACGUCAAGAAUAAAAUUUUAAUUUUCAAAAAGUACAGGGACUUAGAAUGAUCUAAUUGGAGAAUAUGGACUAAAUUUACAAUCGUAAACAUAAUACAAGACUAAUAAUUGAAUUUAAACAAACGGAUUUAACUACUAUUUAUUAGGGUUAAGACUAGAUUUUUAAAAUUUAAAAAAGUUAAGAGACUAGAAUUCACCAAUUCAAAAAGUAUAAUGAUCAAAAUUAAUCAAAUUAAAAUGUAUGGGUUAAAUCUAUAACUUUUACAAAGUAGAGGGACUAAUAACAAAAUUUAACCUUAAUUAAAGAAAUUAUUGUUCCUAGAGUGUGGGGGAAUAUACAUAUUUGGGUAGACAGUCACAGUUUUCAUUUUUAGGCACCAAAAAUAAAAAUUUUACAACUUUGGCACUCCUAAUUUAUCCUUUUCAUUUUGUUUUUUAGAACUAGUUUUUAGAAAUUAAAUGACAAAAAAAAAAAAAAAACAAGAACACUUGUUAAUGAAGGUGCUGUGUUGACAUCCCCUAGCCCUUUAAAUCCAACUCCCUCAUCUCUGCUACUCACAUUCCAUUUUUUAUUGUUUAAAGGUGGCAACAACAGCAGCUACAUGCAAGAAACCAUGCAACGUGAACGUUGCAUGAAAAGAACCAAGAAUGCAGCAGAUGCAUGCUAGUGUCCAUGGUGUAAUUCGACAGCAGCAUGUUUUAUUUUGUUGAUUUUUGAUAGUUAAUGCUGUAAUCAUUUUAUGCUUUGGUCAGCUAAGAUUAAUUGUGUGCUUAGCUGAUUUUGUAGUCUUUUUUAGGUUAUCAUUAGGUUGAUGUAAACAUUUAGACACUUGCACAAGCAAGCUUUGUUUUCUUUCUAUGUAUUUUGAUCUAUUUAUGUAUGUAACCAUGUUCUUAUUCGGGUAAUGAAGAAAUCACCUUGUUCAUUCAAAUUUCUUUGAUUUUUGCUUCUGUUUUAAUCUUUCAAACACUUCAGCACCUUCUUGCUGAGUUAAAAACCAACACUUAUCUUAAUAUGGAAGUGGGAAUCUGGCAUCCAUUUACUCACAGCAACUUCAACGGUUGCAAUCGUUGCUUUUCCACUACUACUUCUUUUCUCUUUUCUGUCGAUCUCAAGAAGAAACACAAACUCGAAGAAAACAGCACCAGAAGCUGUCGAUAUGUGUGAAGCACUUGGGAUAUCAAGUUCUAAAGCAACUUCAUUAGAAGUUUAUAUAACCCCUCGUCUUCUUCUUUUUUUUUUAUGAUUCCAUUAACUAAUUGGUAUUUUAAUUUUAUUAUAAAAUGAGUAGAAUUCAAUAAAUUUCUAAGGUACUAUACUUGUCAUGGAAUAAUAGCAUAUGCAACUUUUGGUAUUUUAACUUUCUUUAAAAAAGAAAAAGGUAGAAUUCAAUAAAUUUUAAAUAUUUCUUCUGAUUAAAAUUUAUCAUUAUUUCAUGGAAAUUGUUAGGAUCGUCCCGAUUAAGCAACGAACAAAUAAAAAUAGUAGAAGAAAUUGAGAAGAUGAACACACAAAUUUAACGUGGAAAAACCCCUCAAAAGAGGAUAAAAAACCACAGGCAAAGAUAAUUUUACUAUAAUGGCAAAAGAAUGAAGAGUACAAAAGAUGGAGAUAAAAACUAAACCCCGAAAACCCGAAAAACAAAGAACUCUCAAACGUAAACACAAAAUUCUCUGAAUGUGUUAUGAGUUCUAAUCUAAUGGGUGUCUCUUAAUUCUAAGAUUGUAAAGGAGCCUAUUUAUAGGCUAAAUUAGUAAGUCAAAUAAACUAUACUAAUAAAUGCUAAAUAUAUUAUACUAAUAAAUACUAAAUCUUCUAGAAAGAAAAUAUAUUUUUGUUUAACUUGACUUGCAAGCAAUCUCUUAGAAUUUGGGUCACACAAUUCUAACAAUUUCCACCUUGACACAAAUUCUUUCAAUGCCAUCUUUGCCAAAACCCGCCACGGGCCUAUCUUGAACUAUGCAGGGAAUUAACUGAGUCGAAUCUAUGCUUAGAAGGUGGAAGACUUCUAGCCUUCGACUUGUGCACUGCCAAAUCAAAACUAACCCGGGUCUGAUUUUCACGAAUACAGUGCCCUAACUUUUCAAAACCUGCAUCCAAAAGAGAACCUCUCUUCAACGAAACGGUCAUACCUUUUUCCCUCCUAUGACCAAGUUGCCUCCGCUUCAAAUGAGCUGACUUUGACUCCGUAACGGACGAGGGACGUCCGAUUUCACCGGUCACUGUAGAACCUUCCAGAAUAUAAAGACUGCCGGUUUUUUUACCUUUUAACAAAACGAGAGCUCCACGAGAUACUUUAAUGUCGCUCGACUCGAUGUUGAUUCUGCAUCCUUUCAAGUCUAAAAUACUCAAGGAGAUGAGAUUCUUUCGUAAAUCAGGUUCAUACCUGACAUCUGAGAGUGUCCUAAUCGUCCCAUCGUGUAUCCUAAUUUUAACAGUACCAAUACCGAUUAUUUUACUAGAUGAAUCGUUUCCCAUGUGCACAACUCCACCUUCAACUGAACUGUAUGUGGAGAACCAUUCUCUAUUGGGACACAUGUGGAAAGAACAUCCUGAAUCUAGGAUCCACUCAGACGUAAGCUUGGAGUUAUCGCUCGUUGACACUAACAAGAAAUCAUCACCGCCUUCAUCGACCAAAUUAGCACCAACUAAAUCUUCCUCGUUACUCUCAGCAGCUCUUUUAUUUCGCAGUUUAUAACAAUCUGCUUUGACGUGACCUAACUUUUUGCAAUAGCGACACCUUUUGUCUCGUUUCUUUGAUGCUACCAAAACGGAAGCUUGUCUAUCUGCUUUGCUAUUCAAAUCAAACUCAUUGUCGAGUUUGUCUCUACUCAACAAAUGACCCUUCACAUCUUCGAACGAGAGUUUGUCUCUACCAUAAAUCAGGGUCUCCCUGAAAGACUUGUAUGAAGAGGGUAAAGAGCACAAUAAUAGCAUAGCUUGAUCUUCAUCGUCAAUAUGAACCUCGACGUUCUUUAAAUCAUUUAAAAGAGUAAUGAAUUGACUGAUGUGAUCUUUAAGAAGCUCACCUUCGUUCAUGCGAAACGUAAAUAGACGUUGUUUCAACACUAAACGGUUAGCCAGAGACUUAGUUGCAUAAAGAGUUUCUAACCUUUUCCACAAGGCGAAUAAGGUCUUCUCCAUCAAUACCUCCUGCAAUACUGUAUUCGUGAGGCACAACUGGAUUGCAGACAAGGCAUUUUCAUCAAGCUCUUCCCAUUCUGUUUGAUUUAGAUUCUCAGGCUUUUUCCCUGUAACAACCUUUUUCAAGCCAUUUUGAACUAGAAUUGCCAUCAUCUGAACUUGCCACAGAUUGAAAUUUGUCUCACCAUCGAACUUCUCAAUUUCAAACCUUGUUGCUGCCAUCUCUGACCGGGCUGAUCUAUGAAAGUUAAACUAGCUCUGAUACCACUUGUUAGGAUCGUCCCGAUUAAGCAACGAACAAAUAAAAAUAGUAGAAGAAAUUGAGAAGAUGAACACACAAAUUUAACGUGGAAAACCCCCUCAAAAGAGGAUAAAAAACCACAGGCAAAGAUAAUUUUACUAUAAUGGCAAAAGAAUGAAGAGUACAAAAGAUGGAGAUAAAAACUAAACCCUGAAAACCCGAAAAACAAAGAACCCUCAAACGUAAACACAAAAUUCUCUGAAUGUGUUAUGUGUUCUAAUCUAAUGGGUGUCUCUUAAUUCUAAGAUUGUAAAGGAGCCUAUUUAUAGGCUAAAUUAGUAAGUCAAAUAAACUAUACUAAUAAAUGCUAAAUAUAUUAUACUAAUAAAUACUAAAUCUUCUAGAAAGAAAAUAUAUUUUUGUUUAACUUGACUUGCAAGCAAUCUCUUAAAAUUUGGGUCACACAAUUCUAACAGAAAUUAAUUCUUUUAAAGUUCGUGAUAGUCGUUCCUAUAAUAUUUUUUCAAAAAUUUAAACUUAAAAUUUUGAUUUGGAAUUAUAUUAUGUCUUAUCAGGUUUUUUUUUGGUCCUUUAAUGCUGAGUUUAGUAGAGUAUUGAUUGCUUUACUCUCAAAUAUUGAUCGACCACAAUGCCCCUUUCAAUUUCGGUCAAUUAAUUUGUGCAACAUUCUAAAUUAUUGUGAGUCAUAUUAGACCGUUCUUGAAUAAUUGGAUUUUUUGAUCUAGCGUAUCUUUACAUUACGUAAAAAUGGUAAAUGCAUAAUGAAAACUUUUAAUGAAUGGUCAAAAGAAACAAAAGAGAAGUAGAUUGCACGAACUGCAAUACGCAAUAAAUGUAUCUUUUUGAGAAGGCAACAUAAGAUUAAUUUAAUUUAUUUGUAUUAUUGAUGUGACAUAUAAUUAUUGAUGAGACAUAUAACUAUAUGUGAUGCAUUGUUUAGGCAAUAAAUAGGUUGCAUUAUAGUACAUAUGUGGUAUGCAUGUUGACACUAUUUUUUUGAUAAAACAGGGUCGACGUUGGUUCGAAAAUGAAAAUUAAAAAGAGGAGUCGCCACCAAUCUUUUUUGAUGAUGUGUGAUUGGGUCACCUCGAAAAGUGGUUAUUUUUAAUAAGCGAUUUGAUUUUAUUAAAAUAACGAUUUUGGUCCACGAAAUUCAAAAAAACUGGUUCGGGAGUCAGUUACGUACGAGGAAGGAUUAGCACCCUCGUGAGGCCAAAAAAUUUGUACCUAGUUAAUUAAUUAAUGUCUUAAUGUCGAAAAUUAAAAACUUUGAAGAGAUUUAAAAUACGAUCUUUUAUAAAAAAAACUUAUAUAAAUCAAAUUACCCGUUAAGACCCUCUCAUUUCGGAGAGAGAAAAUGUCACACCCAAUGAGUUAGGGCAUGAUAUUUCAACUCCUCAAAAAAUGAGCUUGUCCUAAAAACUCAUGCAAUAAAAUUUAAAAGGAUAUUCAAUUGUUUAAGUCAGAUGAGGAAAUUGUAGCCCAAUACGUUAGGGCACAAUUUUUUAAAAUUCCAAACAUUGAAUAUUGUCUUUAUUUUUUAGAAAAAUCCUCAUCUCGAGAAAACAACAUGUCGUAUCCAAUGCAUUAGGACACAAUGUAUCGAAUUCCCGAUAAUGAACUUUUUAUUUAUGUGUUUUGAUUAAAGAAUAUUCUCGAUUAUUUGGAUUCAACGAGGAAAAUUGGAUCCCAAUACGUUAGGGCUCAAUCCUUUCGAAGAUCCCAAAUACUGAAUAUUGCGUUAUCUUUACUUAAAACACAUUUAUUUUAGUUUUAGAAAGAUAUUUGGUUAUUUAGAUUCAACGCGAGAAAAAUCGAAACCCAAUAAGUUAGGGCACAACUUCUCGAAUCUCAAAAUACGUAACUUUACUUAUUUUAAAGUCAUAAUUUAUGCAUAGGGUAGAAUUAAUGUAACAUAAUUUCAUGAUAAAAUGUAAAAAUAAAUCACGGUACUAAUAUACAUGACAAAAUAUUAACGAAUGCGAUUAUAGACAACAAAUAAUAAUAGAAAAAAUGAAAAUAAAACAAGAUAAAUAAUGAAAAAAAGUACAAAUGAAUCAAUUAUAUAAGAAAAAUAUGUAGAUAAACAAAUGAAAAACUAAAAAAAAUUGAAAAUAAGCAAACAAAUAAAAAGACAAAGAAAUAUUAAAUAAAACUAAAAAAGAUAAAUAUAAUAACAGUAAUAAUGAUAAUAAUAAUAACAAUAGUAGAAAUCUUAAAGCUUAAAGAUUAUAUAAAAUAAUAUAAACAAAUAAAAUAAAUAUAUUUAAUAUUUAGGUAAAUAAAUACAUAACAAAAAUAGCAAAAAAAAGGAUUAAAUUGAACUCUAAAACAAAAUUCGGGGGCAAAUUAGAAAUAAAUAAAAGAGAGAGGACCAAAUUGAACGUGUAGAUAACGAGGGACUAAAUGGGCAAUAAUCCCCCACCCUCCAAAACACACAGUUCCAUUGAGACCAAAUUGUAAGCGCAACAAAUUGUGGGGUAAAAUUGAAAAAAAAAUACUUGAUUAAAAACAUUAAAAAGCGGAAGGGCUGAAUGCGCAAAUAGACCUUUCCACAAAAACACACGGAUCCUCUUGCGGGUCGGGUCAGUGCGCGGGUUGAGCACGAAACGGCGUCGUUUUGGUGCCUGGGCUUGGCGCUCAAAACGACAUCGUUUUGACCCUCUAUAAAAGUUAAAAUUUUCUAAAAAAAAUUAUUUUUCCCCUUUGCUUCAAAAUUUUUUUGAAAAUGCUCUCAAUCCCUCUCUCCCUCUCCGGGCAUCGGCCCAAAAUCCGGCCAUAGGCCACUGCUCUUACCGCUAGUUGCCGGUGACGGCUCCGUCGUACACAGUGGCCGAAAAGUCGAAAAAUUUCUCUUUUUCUUCCAGCACACCUCCUCAGCUCCCUGAGCACUCCGGCGACGGCAAAAGGGAAAAGAGCCAUAUUUCGAAAUAAUAAAAAACAUAAAAAUAAAAUAAAACGAAAACAAAAAUAAAAAUAAAAGGUCACAUUUAGUUUUUUUUAAUCCUUUUUUGAAUCUAUUUUUUUUAUUUCUCAAAAAAAAUCCCCAUUUAAAGUGGCUUAUCAUCUUUUAUAGCCGAUUACAAGCUUCAUUUUUUAAUAUUCUUGUCACUUCAGUUGCAGGCACAAGUAGGCGGGGCAGGUGAGUGGCGGAGCAGGUGGCGCUGCAGCGGCAGCAGAGGGGUCAGAAGACCAAGGGUCAAAAUACCCUAGGUGCGGCGCCUAGGGUUCUUUUGUUUUCUGCUAGGUUUUAUUAUUAUUAUUUUGGAUUUGGGCCAUUCAGGUUUUGGGCUUAUGGUUUGCAUUUGGACUGGUCUUGUAAUUGGGCUCGGGUUUUAAAUUUUGUUUAGGGUCUAUUGAUUGGGCUUCUGGGUUAGGUCUAGGUGGGUUGGUAUUUGGGCUUGGCAAUUGUAAUUGGGUUGUUUUUGUUUUGCUGGUAUGAGCCAGGGCGAAAUUGGCCUAUAACAAUGCAUUUUGAUUGCUUUUGUAGGAGUGUUUGUUGAUAUAAUUCUAUUUUGUAUUUUUACACUCUUGUGGUAUGGAUUUUAUUGGAGAAUAAUCCUUGUUGUAAGUAAGGUUGCUUGAGGCGAAUGAUUGUAAUAUUAAGAGUAUUUUGUUGGGACUGCAAUUAUCCAUUGUAUAAUAGUUAGUUUGGACUUUACUAAUAGGGUUCUAAAUCCAUUUUUAAAUAAAAACAUUUAUUGACUAAUGUUCUGCAGACUCGAAUUAAUAUAUCCAAACUGCGUUAACAAACAUCACGAUUUGGGCGUUUGAAUAGUGGUAAAGAAAAUUAAUUAGUUAAUCGUUUGAAGACAUUUGACUUCAGUUUGGGUUGAUUGAAAGUGUAGGUAUCUUCUUGGAAGAGUAUUAUCAUUUGGACUCUUUCUAAACCUCAUAACAUCAACUUAUGAUAUCAACUCGAUCAGAAAUUUAAAUAAUAAUAUAAAUUUGAUUAAUUAUAAUCAAAAUUAACUCAAUAUAAAACCAAGAAAAUAUCCGAAAAAAAUCCAAGAUAAUUUCAAGAAAAAUCCCAUGCAUGUGGAUACGAUGUUUUAAAGUCCCAAAACUGAAAAUUUUGGGCACCGAAAAUAAAAAAAUUUGCAACUUAGGCACUAUUGUUACAUAAUUUUAUCAUUUUAGUCACUAUCAUUAUAUCCUUUUAUCAUUUUAGCAACUCGCCUUUAAUUUUCCAUUAAAUAUAUUUAUUUUAGUCACCCAAAUUUAGAAAGUUUUUAUUUUGGUCACUCAUUAAGUUUUUAUUUUGGUCACUCAUUUUAUCUUUUUAAUUUCUUUUAAUUUUUUAAUUUUUAAGGAUCAGUUUUAAUUUUUUUUCAGUAAAGGAGAAAAACUGAAAAUUUAGAGGAAAAUUCAGGUUAAAAAUUUCUUUAUUUUUUCUUUUUAGAAUUAAUUUCAGUUUUUUUUCUGAAUAAAAUGGAAGGGAAAAGCCUAAGAUUUUAUAGGGAAUUACCUAGGUUUUUAUAGAAAAAAUACUUUAGUUUUUACUGAAAAACUAAUUUAUCUUUUUAUUUUUCUUUUUAGAAUUAAGUUUAAUUUUUUUCAAUAAAAGGGAAACACCUAGAGUUUUGUAGGAAAUUACUUGAGUUCUUAUUAAAUUUGAGUGAUUAAAAAUGAGUAUAUUUAAUGGAAAAUUAAUGGUGGGCGACUAAAAUGAUAUAAAAGUAUGUAACGAUAGUGGCUAAAAUGAUAAAAGUAUAUAAUAACAGUACCUAAAUUGCGAACUUUUAAAUUUUGGUGUCCAAAAUGAAUACUUAUAAAAGUUGAGUGGCCAACUGAGUACAUUUAAUGGCAAAUUAACUAUGGGUGACUAAAAUGAUAAAAAAGGUAUGUAACGAUAGUGACUAAAAUGAUAAAAGUAUAUAACGACAGUACCUAAAUUGUAAACUUUUAAAUUUGGUGCCCAAAAUGAAUACAUAUAAAAGUUGAGUGACCAACUGUGUGGUUUACCCUUUUCUUUAUUUUGCAUAUCUAUUUUAUUGCCUUUAUUUAGGAUUUGUAAUUGUUUUAUUUAAUAAUAUUCAUCUUGAAGGUUUAAACUCGUGUUUUUUCCUUAAUAGUAUAACGUAUCUUACCACUACACCUAAUACUUGUUAAUGGUAAAAUAAAAAAUAGAUAUGAAAAUUAUAUAUAUAUUUAAAUCAAUCCAUCAAAUAUGAACUUUAUUAUAAGAUAAGCAUAAAAUUAUUUAUUUUAAAUAAUUUAUUGUAUACAAACAAAAUUUACUUGUACCACAUCAUUUGCAAUUUUAAACUUAAAAAGCUUAAAAACACACACACACACACAAAAAAAAAAAAAACAGAACACUUGUUUGAAUUCAAUUGGAUGAAGAAGUUGACAAUGUACGAGCUGCUAUGACAUGCACAUUCCUUGUCCAACAACUCAAACUCCCUCAUCUUUAAUCUUAAAGUGGGAAUCUGGCGAUGGAUUAUCUCCAUUCACUCACAGCAACUUCAACUGUUGCAAUCAUUGCUUUUCCACUACUUUUUCUUUUCUCUUUGCUAUGGAUCUCAAGAAGAAACACAAACUCGAAGAAAACAGCACCAGAAGCUGGUGGAGCAUGGCCUAUUAUUGGUCAUCUCCGCCUCUUAGGAGGAUCACAACCACCUCACAUAAGCUUGGCUAACAUGGCUGACAAAUAUGGAAGAAUCUUCAGUAUCAAGUUGGGUGUGCAUAGAGCUUUGGUGGUGAGCAAUUGGGAGAUUGCUAAAGAAUGUCUCACCAUAAAUGAUAAAGCAUUCGCCUCUCGUCCAAAGCUUGCAUUCUCGGAAAUUAUGGGUUACAACGGUGCCAUGACUGGCUUUGCGCCAUAUGGACCUUAUUGGCGUCAAGUGCGUAAGAUUGUCACUAUUGAGCUCCUCUCAAAUCACCGACUUGAAUUGCUUAAACCUGUGAGGGAUUCCGAGAUAAAGACAUCUCUGCAACAGUUAUACCAGCAGUGGAACAAGAAGAGAAGUACUAACUCCGAUAAAGUAUUGGUGGAGAUGAAGGGAUGGUUCAAAGAAGUUACUCUGAAUGUUAUUACGAGGAUGAUUGUAGGAAAGUGAAUUCCAAAUUCCAGUGAAGGAGGUGAAAACUUGAAAUGGAAGAAAUAUAUGGAUGACUUCUUUGAACUGAGUGGAAAGUUCCUAAUAUCAGAUGCGUUGCCGUUUUUGAGAUGGUUGGACAUAGGUGGAGAUAUGAAGUACAUGAAAAAGACCGCGAAAGAAUUGGACCAAGUUGUGGAGGGAUGGCUACGAGAGCACAAGCAGAAGAGAGCUGAAAAUAAGGCAAAUAGUGAGGAAGAUUUCAUGGGAGUGAUGCUGUCUAUUCUCAGUGAUGCGGAGGAACUCCAUGCUGAUACAAUCAACAAAGCCACUUGUCUCGUACGUGCAUCUCUCUUAACCAAACUGAUUGCCAUUAAUAACAUACAGAAGUUGGAAAUGCUAUUAAUUCAUUGUUGAUUUCCAUUAAUAACAUACAGAAGUUGGAAAUGCUAUUGAUUCAUUGUUGAUUGCCAUUAAUAACAUACAGAAGUUGGAAAUGCUAUUAAUUCAUUGUUGAUCUUUUUAUGGUAUUUGAUCUAAUAGGGUAUCGUCUUGGAGGCGGAGGAUACAACGUCAGUUACUCUGACAUGGGCUUUGUCUCUGUUACUCAAUAAUCAUGACACAUUAAGUAAGGUCCAACAAGAACUAGAUGUUAAGGUUGGUAAGGAUAGGUUGGUAGUGACGGAAUCAGACACCAAAAGCUUAGUGUACCUUCAGUCCAUUAUUAAGGAAACGCUACGCUUAUACCCUGUUGGUCCACUAUCCCUGAUCCAUGAAGCCAUUGAAGACUGCACAGUUAAUGGAUAUCAUGUUUCAGCUGGCACUUGGCUUAUUACGAAUCUUCAUAAGAUUCAUCGUGAUCCACUUAUAUGGGCAAAUCCCUCUAAAUUUCAACCUGAAAGAUUUAUGACCACACAUAAAGAUGUUGAUGUGAGGGGACAAAAUUUUGAACUGAUUCCAUUUGGAAGUGGUAGAAGAAUGUGUCCCGGACUUUCAUUUGCGCUUCAGAAUUUGUCACUUAUACUAGCUAAUGUGUUACAUUGGUUUGAGUUUGAGACCUCGUUAGAUGAAGCCGUUGAUAUGCGUGAAGCACCUGGCCUGACGUGUUCUAAAGCAACUCCAUUAGAAGUUUAUGUAACUCCUCGCCUUCGUGCUUUUGUUUACAAUUCCUCCAACUAAUUGGUAUUUUAAUUUUACUAUAAAAAUGAGUAGAUUUCAAUAAAUUUCUAAGGUAUCAUAUGUCAUGUAUUUAUACUAUAGGCAAUGUUUAGUAUUUUAACUUUAUUUUAAAAAUAAGCAAAAUUCAUAAAUUUCCAAGGUGUCGUACUUGCCAUUUAAUUAUGUUAUAGUUUAACGGGAAUUAAUCUUUUCGGAGUUCAUGGUUGCUCCUAAUAAUAUUGUCUGAAAGAGUCUAGCUUUAGUUCUCUUUUAAGAGUGCAAUGUGCCUUACUAUUACUCCUAGUACCAAGUUUUUUCAAACUAGGGCCCUUAAUGUUGAGUUUAGUAGAUUCUUGAUUGCUUUACUCCCAAAGAUUGAUAGACCACAGUGUGUAAGAUUUUUUUAGCCUAAUAAUAUGGAGCCAAUUAAGUUCAAAAUAAUGUAGCCCAAUUUAAAGGGAAUAAGAGCUUUACUUUAUAAUAGAAAUUAAAUCCUUUCGGUUCAUUCAGUUACUUGAUGGAUGUAUUGUAUUAAAUAUUGAUCAUUAUAAAUUGUUUAUCCCUCUACCUAUUAGGGUUACACACACAAAAGAACAAAUAAAAGUUAUAGCCUCCAUCACUUAAGAUUUGUGUAAUUGAGAGACAAGAUCAAGAGAAAGAAAUCAAUUUAUCAAGUAUUCAUCUUCGUCAAACCCAAUAACUAACUCAAAUUCCAGAUCAAGUAAUUCAUAGACUUGUGAAAACCAUAUUAUUCUAAAGAUCCUAAAAUAAUUGUUUACGCAACAUUAGGGAUUUUGUUGCAUAAUAAGAUUUCCCUUUUCAAUUUUGGUCAAUUAGUUUGUGCAAUGAUCUAAAUUAUUGUGAAUCAUAUUAGACUAUUUUUGAAUCGUUGGAUUUUUCAAUCUAGUGUAUACUGAAAAGAAGCAGUAUAUGUAUAAUAAGAACUUUGAAUGAAUAGAUAAAAACAAUGAACGAGAAGUAGAUUGCAUCGAGUAUUAUCCGCAUUAAUUGUAUUUUUCUGAUAAGGCAAGAGAUGACUUAGGAUUAAUUUAAUUUCUUUGGAUUAUUAUUUAGGUUGAUUAAUAAAUUAAAUAAUUGAGUUAAAAGUGAAAUUUUAAAUUAUGUAGUAAUCUUAGUUUAAUUCUAUUCAAAUAAUUAAAUACGUUUGCACAUAAAUUCUAAUACGGUAAAGUUAUCUUGAUUUUAAUGAAAUUAGAAUUGAGUUGUGUAAAUUAUUUAGUUAGAAAUAAUUAAUUAAAUUAAUUUUUAAUUAAUAAUGCUGAGUGUGGGGCAAUUGAUAGAGAAGGGAUUCAAGGUAAUGUUUGAAGAGGGAAUGUAUCUUAUCCUUAACUCUAGUGGAAAUGAAUUGUUUAGGAUCAAGAUGCAGAAGAAGAGCUUUUCAUUGAAUCUACUCGAGGAGGAGCAAGUAGCGUCCAAGUGUCAGAGAAUAAUAACAUAAAAUCAAAUGGACCUUUGUAACACACCCUAACCCCAAACCGUCACCGGAACAGGAUUAUGGAGCAUUACCAGACAUAUCGGAUAACUUAUAACUAAUUCACAAAUAUAUAACAUACAUAGCAUACUUUAAUCAUUUUCGUUUCAUAUUUGUAUAAAUUAUGUCAUUUUAGUUCCAUUUCUUACUUAUAACCAAUUUAAACAUUAUUCUACAACCGUAAUCACAACUCUUAUACUUAAACUAUACAUCACCUAGGUACAUGGCACAUUAUCAAAACAAAGGCACUUCACUAAAAUUUUCUUGAUGGAGUCGGGAUCUUUCUGGAUGCUGAACUGAACCUUGAAUUCUAAUGACCUGCGCACGGAAACAACCGUACGCUGAGUAUGGGUAUACUCAGUGGUAUUACCAUAAUUCAAAUUUAUAACAUUAAUCGAUAAAUUAUAUACAUUUAAUUUAUGUAUACAAUUAUUCAUUAAUUAUCUCAUACUUUAAAUCAACUUGAUCAUUAAUAACACUAAGCUAUAUUUCACUAUCUCAAUUUUCAUUGGAUUUUUCACAUCUCAUUCCAAUAAUUCAUUUCAAUUCAUGUACAAUUCAUUCCAUGUAAUUUAUAUUCAAUAUCAAUUCUAUUGCAAUUUGUACUCACUAAUAUCAUGUAACAAAAAAAAUUUACUCUUAAUCACAUCAUGAACUUUGAGUUCAUAUCUUCAAAUCUCAUAACUCGAUUUCCAAUUCACAUAUUAAUUCACAAUUUCACUUUAUCAUUUCUUUCCAUAGCUCAAUCACUCACACUUAUUCAAUUUUUCUCAUUCCAAUUGUUUACCCCAAUUAACAAGACUCGGACCUUGGCGGAUACACAUAGGUCCAACCAAACACACCAAAAUGGUACCCAGUGCCUCAUCGGAUAGUUCUAAGUAAUAAAGUGACACCCAAUGUCUCAUCGGCAGAGUCGAAGAAAGUGGGUACCUAGUACCUCAUCGAAACUAUCCGAAGAAAUAUAGUGACACCUAGUGUCUCAUCGACUCGAGGUCGAAGCAUCCCUGAGCACUUCCAAUCCUAUGGCAUGCCAACUAUAUUCGACUCAGCCCGACUCGUUAAUAGGGUUUCCGAAUCACAUUUCAGUUCAAUCACUUUCUCAUACUUUCAAUUCAAAUCAUUCCAAUUUAAUCACAAUUUAAUUCAAUACAUUUUUCACUUUCCAAUCAGUAAACCAUCAAAUGCUCAUACAUAUUCAUACUUCAUUUUAAUUUCAUUCAAUUCACAAUUUCUCAUGUUCACAAUUCAAAUCAAUUUUUCAAUCCAAUAUGCAUUUCAAUACCACAUUAAUUCUUUUAAUUCAAAUCAUAUCACUAGUAGUUUUCCAUUCAAUUCACAUACAAUUAAAUAUCAUUUAAUUCCAUAUCGAUAUUCACCUUAUUUUUAUUUACUAAACAUAUUAUUCAAAAUUCAAUAAUUACUAUUAAUAAAUUCAAUACCAAUACGUAUUUUUCAUUCAAUUCAAUCAUGAUACUUACCUCAAUUUGCUUAUCAUGUAUAUUAAUUUAAAUUUUAACAAUUAAUAAUUAAAUUCGAAUUAUGGUAAUACUAACCGUAAUUUUCUCGAAUCACUCCUCAUCUUUUUUUUUCUUUUCCUUUCUUGGCCAAUAUCUCUGACACGAUAUUAGCUACGAAAAAUUAAAAUAAUUUACAAUCAUCAAUACAAUAUUAAUUUUUCAUCUAAUACUUGAAUUUCUAUUUUACUUUCAUCUCAAUUUUGAUUUAAUCCCUAACUAAAUUCAUUUAUUUUUCCAUCUCAAUUCAUACCUCAUUUCUACUCAAAUUUCAACUAAACUUAAACUUAACUAUCAAAUUUUUAUCAUAAAUCCUUAAUUUUGAGAUUCUCUCAAUUUAGCCCUUACUAUUCAAAACUCAUAAUUUAUUUUACAAAUCAACGCUUUACUAACCUCUAACUUGAAAUUCAAUCAAUCUAAUCCCUAAUUCAUCAAUUAAUUCAACAUGAACAACAUCUAAAAAUUUACUAACUUUCAAAAUUUCAACUUAAAUCAAGUAGUAUUUUGUUCUAGGAUUCCAAAAAUAUCAAAAUUACAAGAAAAUAGACUAAUUUGAGUUACCAAAUUAAGCUUGGAACUUCAAAACCACAAUUUUUUCUUUUCUUUCUUUCCUUCUUUCCUUCUCUGUUUCGUUUUAAGCUUUCUGUUUCUUUCUUAUUUCUUUUCUUUCUUUUGUUUAUAAAAUAAAAUAAAAUAAAAUAAUAAUAUUUUAAUCUAAAAUAUCUUAUACUUAAAUAAUAAGUAAAUUAUACAUAUUAUAACCACACAAGUGUCACAUUUUUGGUUUAUUUACUAAUUUAAUCCCUUUAUUUAUUUCAUAAUUAAAAUUUCACAACCAAUUCAAUUUAGUCUUUUUAUCUAAUUACUUUUAAUUCACCCAGGAAUAACCAACCCUAAAACAACGCCAUUGGAUCCUACUUUUGUCUACCAAUCCAGCUAUUGUUUGUUAGAUUUUAGACCUAUAUUUAAUGGAUAAUGAUAUGAUUCAUAUAUAAUAUUUAGGAAAAUAUCUUCGAUAUCUAUUGAUGUGGACUCAACUAAUAAACUAAUAAACGAAUAAACAAAAGUCUACCAAAAUUGAUUUACACAUCAAAUCAAAAAUCAAUUCGAAUACUUCCAAAAUGACAUCGUCAAAGAUUUGUUUUUGAUUGGAAAAUGAAUGGAAUCAAUAAAAUAAAGGCUUGUAGGACAUUUUUGUAGUGCCCGAAGCUUAUUUUAUCAUUACGCAUAUAGUUAACAAUAAGAUUUAAUUGCAUUCCAUUCAUACUACAUUAAUAGCAAAAAUUAGAUAGAUUAUUUCUCUUUCUUUUCACUAUUAUUCUGCUUUUAAUGAUUAAAAUAAUGGUUAACUCUAUAAUAAUGAUCGCAUCUAUGACUACGAUCAUGACCACGACCACGACUUCUUUUAUUAUUAUAAUUACUAUAGAGUAAUUUUCGGAAUGGAGUUUCAUUAUUUUGCACAAUCACCAAUAAUGCUAGUAUGUUGAGAAAAAAAAUAGCUAAGUGCUUAAAAUAAAGCAAAUAAAGAUAAGAAUAAAUAAAAUUAUCGUUUACUUAACUAUACCGACCUGUCUUACUUACUUAGGGUGGGUUUGGGGUUAGUGUAAAAACAGCAGUGACGGUGAGAUUAGAUACUUUAGCGAUACUGUAGCAUAAGAUAAAAAGUAAACUAAACGCACCACACCGCACCCAAUCGCUUAUCCAAACUCACCCUUAGUUCAUCAACUUUCUUUAUUGCUACCAGUAAUCAAACUCAGCUACUUCAACUUAUAAAAUAUAAGGUGAAUCACAAUAAGUGAUGAUGCUAUUCCGUUUGAUUGAAUUAAUUUCAUUGAUCGAUAUACUCAAUUUUUAUCCAUGAGAGACACCUUAUAUUAGAAGACCAAAAAUAAAAAUAAAAAACGAUAUAUCAGUUAAAUACACUCUGUUUUCUACAAAAUUUAAAGAGAGAAUAUAUAUAUUCUUUUAUCCAUUAGUUAAAUACAAAAGGGAAUGCUAUCCGUUGAAUAAAUGGUGAAUGAUGAUACCCCUGCGGUGACAUUAAAUUAACCCUAUUAAUCCAACUCUCUCAUCUCUGCUAUUGCAUAUAGAUCUUAGAUUAAAGUAAGAAUCCAGAAAUGGAUUAUUUUCAUUCAGUCACAGCAACAUCAACUGUUGCAAUCAUUGCUUUUCCACUACUGUUUCUUUUCUCUUUCCUAUGGAUCUCAAGAAGAAACACAAACUUGAAGAAAACAGCACCAGAAGCUGGUGGAGCAUGGCCUAUUAUUGGCCAUCUCCGCCUCUUAGGAGGGUCACAACCACCUCAUAUAAGCUUGGGUAACCUGGCAGACAAAUAUGGAGGAAUCUUCACCAUCAGGUUGGGUGUAAAUAGAGCUUUGGUGGUGAGCAAUUGGGAGAUAGCUAAAGAAUGUCUCACCAUAAACGAUAAAGCGUUUGCCAGUCGCCCAAAGCUUGCAAGCUCGGAAAUUUUGGGUUACAACUGUGCCAUGAUAGCCUUGGCACCGUAUGGACCUUAUUGGCGUCAAGUGCGCAAAUUCGCCACAAUUGAGCUCCUCUCAAAUCACCGACUCGAAUUGCUUAAACUUGUGCGGGAAUCCGAGGUGAAGGCAUCACUGCAACAAUUAUACCAGCUGUGGAACAAGAAGAAAAGUAGUAACUGUGGCAAAGUAAUGGUGGAGAUGAAGAGAUGGUUCAGAGAUGUUACUCUUAACGUGGUACUAAGGAUUGUUGUAGGGAAGCGAAUACCGAAUUCAUACGAAGGAGAUGAAACCGUGAAAUGGAAGAAGUCGUUGGACGACUUGUUUGAACUAAGUGGGAAGUUCUUAAUAUCAGAUGCGUUGCCUUAUCUGAGAUGGUUGGACAUAGGUGGAGAUGAGAAGUCUAUGAAGAAGGUAGCCAAAGAAUUGGACCAAGUUGUGGAGGAAUGGCUACGAGAGCACAAAGAAAAGAGAGCUGAAAAUGAGGCAAACAGUGGGGAAGAUUUCAUGGGAGUGAUGCUAUCUAUUCUUCGUGAUGCAGAGGAGCACGAUGCCGAUACCAUCAACAAAGCCGUCAGUCUCGUACGUGCAUUUCUUAAUCAAAUCCUAUAUUUGUUUGAUAUUUAUAUUCAUCAUUCACCUGAAUACCAAUUUCAAUCUGAUAUUAAUAGUUUUACUGUAAAUGAUUUAAUAGGGACUUACCUUAGCCGUGGAAGAUACCACAUCAAUUACAAUGACAUGGGCUUUAUCUUUAUUACUCAAUAAUCGCGAUGCAUUGAACAAGGUCAAACAAGAACUAGACAUUCAUGUUGGUAAAGAUAGACUCUUAGUUACAGAAUCAGAUACUAAAAACUUAGUGUACCUCCAAUCUGUCAUUAAAGAAACACUACGCCUCUAUCCUGCUGCUCCACUCGCUGUAAUCCAUGAAGCCAUUGAAGAUUGCUCAGUUUAUGGAUACGAUAUUUCAACUGGCACUUGGCUUAUUCUUAAUCUUCAAAAGAUACAACGUGAUCCACAAAUAUGGGAAGAUCCUUUAAAAUUUCAACCAGAAAGAUUUAUGACUACCCAUAAAGAUAUUGAUGUAAAGGGACAUGACUUUGAACUUAUUCCAUUUAGCGGUGGUAGAAGAAUGUGCCCUGGAGUUUCAUUUGCGCUCAAGAUUCUGGAACUUACAUUAGCUAAUUUAUUGCACUGGUUCGAGAUUGAAACUCUAUCAAACGAAAUAGUUGAUAUGCGUGAAGGUCCAGGAGUGACCAGCCCUAAAGCAACUCCAUUGGAAGUUCAAAUAUCUCCUCGUCUUCCUACUUUUGUUUACCAAUCCCGCAAUUAAUUUCUAUUGUUUGUGUUAAGCCACAUGUUUAAGCUGCUGCCACUUAUCCAGUUUUCUGUUUUUGUUUGAAUAAUUCUCUUUGAUUUUAGGAGAUAGUUACCAGAUUUCUUGGCUUUUUUUUAGAUCUAAUCUCUAUUUUUAGUUAUGGAUACUAGUAUAUAAGUGUUGGAGUAUUCAAUAAUAAAGUGUAUUCAAGUCUUUAAGUUUCAUUCUAAUCUAGAGCUUUCUUCUCCUCUCUUCAAUAUUUUUUAGAAAAAUUACCAACAAAUUUAAUGUGUAAACACUAACAGUUUGUUUGAUUUUAGACGUAUAUUUAAUAAAUAAUCUCCUCGUCUUCCUACUUUUAUUUACCAAUCCAGCAAUUAACUACUAUUGUUUGUUGGAUUUUAGACAUAUGAAAUAUUAUAAAAUAUCAUCCAUAUCUAUGGAAUCAACUAAUAAACUAUAAUAUAAUUUAAACAAAAGUUUAAUCAAAAUUGAUUUACACACGAAAUCAAAAAUCAAUAUGAAUACUUCCAAAAUGACAAAUUUAUCCUGCAAUAUUAUCGACUACUUGUCAUCACAGAUUUGAUUUUGAUUAAAUUAAUGAAAUCUAUUACUCUAGAGAUCUAUGUCAUGGGUCUGUUUUUAAUUGAACCAUAUGAUCGGUUUUAGUGGAAAAUGAUAGAAUCAAUAAAAUAAAAUAAAGACGUGUUAAUAAUAAAAUUUAAUUGCAUUCCAUUAAAAAUAAUGGAUACCUGUUUAUUGUUCAAUAAAAAUGGUAUUGGACAAAUGGAAAUUGAACAUUUCCUCAUCAAACUUUAUAAGAUACUAAGGUACUGUAUGCUUAUCCAUACCACAUUAAUAAUAGCAAAAAUUUAACGGUGGUUGAAAGAUGAGUUAGAUUACAUUUCUCUUUCUUUCCACUAUUAUUGGUCUUGAUUAAAAUAAUUGUUAACUCCAUAAUAAUAGUAAUUAUUGGGUAUGAUAUGGUAACCCUGAUCAUGACCAUGGUUUCUUCUAUGUAUUAUUCUAUUCACUUUUGCAAUGGCGUCAAACAAGUGGAUAACUUUUAUAAUUUUUUAUUUACCAUUCAUUAUUUUGUACAACUACCAAAAAGUAUGAGAUUUAACCCGUGUAUUUUUUAAUAUCUUUUUCAUGGUAUUGUUACUGUAAAAAUAUAUUGCAUCGAUGCAUGAAAAGUUAAAAAAAAAAGUUCUAAUAUAUUAUUAUCAACUAUCCUUUGUCCACAAAAAUUUAAUUAAAAACUCAUCUUGAAUAUUACAUAAUUAUAUUCACUCAGAAAUUUAAAAUCUUGUAACCUUUAGUGCAUCUAAUUAUAACAAUCAACAUCUUAUGUUUACGAGAGCCAAGGCUGGUGUUUUUAAGACCAAAGUCUAUACGGUUCUUGCACACGAGGAAGUUGAUCCUGUGAAUGUGCAUGAGGUGAUGGAGCAUCCAUCUUGGCAGGAAGCUGUGAAGGAGGAAUUAGAUGCCCUUCUCAAGAAUGGUACUUGGUAUUCUAAUUUGUUAUUAUUUGUAUUCUAAUUUAGAAGGGUAAUUUUUUUAAUUUGUUAUUGUUUGUAUUCUAGCUUAAUAAUUGAGUAAUAUUAUAUAUUUAAUUUGAUGUAUUUAUUUAUAAAUAAAUUGUUGCAAUAUAUAAAAAAACAUAAAAUAUAUAUUCAUAAAUAUAAAACAAAUUCAAUUAAACAAUGAAAAUAUAAGAGAAUCUUAAAUGUAUUAAUUGGAAACAAUUUUUAUAAAAUAUUUUCAAGAAAAUUACCAAAUAACAGAAAAUAUUUUAUGCUGAUUUAUUUAAACACCAUAAAAAUUUAAUUUUUUUUAAAAAAUAAAUCAUUUUUCAAAAAUCAAUUUUUUUUGAAAAUCAUUUUCAAGAAAAUAAAUGGAGCCCAAGAUUGGAAUUAGUAUAACCUGUCGUCUUUCUUCACAUCGCAGUACUUCGUUGAUUUUCUUAUAUGGCUUCAAAAUUCCAAUAUCAGUAACGUAAGUUAGUGAAAGAUCAAUAUACGAUAAUUACGUCAACAACACAACAAUGCAUAUAUAUGCAUUGUCUGUAUCUUAGAUUGAAAGUAGAAAUUUGGCGAUGGAUUAUUCCCAUUCACUCACAGCAACUUCAGCUGUUGCAAUCAUUGCUUUUCCACUACUAUUUCUUUUCUCUUUUCUAUUGAUAUCAAGAAGAAACACAAACUCGAAGAAAACAGCACCAGAAGCUGGUGGAGCAUGGCCUAUUAUUGGUCAUCUACGCCUCUUAGGAGGGUCACAACCACCUCACAUAAGCUUGGCUAACAUGGCUGACAAAUAUGGAAGAAUCUUCAGUAUCAAGUUGGGUGUGCAUAGAGCUUUGGUGGUGAGCGAUUGGGAGAUUGCGAAAGAAUGUCUCACCGUAAAUGAUAAAGCGUUUGCCUCUCGUCCAAAACUUGCAAGCUCGGAAAUUUUGGGUAACAACAGAGCCAUGUUAGGCUUUGCACCAUAUGGACCUUAUUGGCGUCAAAUACGCAAGGUUGCCACUAUUGAGCUCCUCUCAAAUCACCGACUCGAAUUACUUAAACAUGUAAGGGAAUCCGAGGUGAAGACAUCUCUGCAACAGUUGUACCAGCUGUGGAACAAGAAGAGAAGUGCUAACUCCGAUAAAGUAUUGGUGGAGAUGAAGGGAUGGUUCAAAGAAGUUACUCUGAACGUGAUUAUGAGGAUGAUUGUAGGGAAGCGAAUUCCAAAUUCCAGUGAAGGAGGUGAAAACUUGAAAUGGAGGAAAUCGAUGGAUGACUUCUUUGUACUAAGUGGAAAGUUCUUAAUAUCAGAUGCUUUGCCGUUUCUGAGAUUCCUGGACAUAGGUGGAGACAUCAAGUUCAUGAAGAAGACAGCGAAAGAAUUGGACCAAGUUCUGCAGGGAUGGCUACGAGAGCACAAGCAGAAGAGAGCUGAAAAUAAGGCAAACGGUGAGGAAGAUUUCAUGGGAGUGAUGCUGUCUAUUCUCAGUGAGGCGGAGGAACACCAUGCUGAUACAAUAAACAAAAUCAAUUGUCUAGUACGUGCAUAUCUCUUAACCAAAUAGAUUGUGAUUAAUGGCAAUUUUUUUUGGUCAAGAUUGCUAUUAAUAACAUACAUAAGUUGGAAAUGCCAUUAUUUCAUUGUUGAUCUUUUCAUGGUAUUUGAUGUAACAGGGACUUAUCUUAGGCGCGGAGGAUACCACAUCCAUCACAUUGACAUGGGCCUUAUCUUUGCUACUCAAUAAUCGUGACAAAUUGAGUAAAGUCCAACAAGAACUAGAUGUCCACAUUGGUAAGGAUAGACUACUUCUGACCGAAUCAGACACCAAAAACUUAGUGUACCUUCAAUCCAUCAUUAAAGAAACUCUACGCCUAUAUCCUCCUGGUCCGCUCUCUGUGAUCCAUGAAGCCAUUGAAGACUGCACGGUUAAUGGAUACCAUGUUUCAGCUGGCACUUGGCUUAUUAUGAAUCUUCAUAAGAUUCAUCAUGAUCCACUUAUAUGGGCAAACCCUUUUGAAUUUCAACCUGAAAGAUUUAUAACUACCCACAAAGACAUUGAUGUGAGGGGACAGAAUUUUGAACUAGUUCCAUUUGGAAGUGGUAGAAGAAUGUGCCCCGGAGUUUCAUUUUCACUUCAAGUUUUACAGCUUACGUUGGCUAAUGUGUUGCAUUGGUUUGAGUUUGAAACCCCAUCAGGCAUAGCAGUCGAUAUGCGUGAAGGACUUGGGAUAACGAGUUCUAAAACAACUCCAUUAGAAGUUCAUAUAACUCCUCGCCUUCUUGCUUUUGUUUACAAUUCCACUAACCCCAUUAGAGCUUACCCUGGGUAAUUUGCUGCAUUGGUUCGAGUUUCAAACUCCAUCAAACAAUCCAGUCGAUAUGUCUGAAGCAGUCAAAUUAAUGAGUCCUAAAGCAACUCCAUUAGAAGUUUAUAUAACUCCUCACAUUCCUACUUAUGUUUACCUAUAAUUAUAAUAAAUAAAUUUUUAGUAUUAUUACUAUAUAUAUCUUUUUGCUGAUUUAAUAUAUUUAUUUAUUUUGAAUAAAUAAUUUUAUUCAAAACAUG